AUUGCUUCUCGGCCUUUUGGCUAAGAUCAAGUGUAGUAUCUGUUCUUAUCAGUUUAAUAUCUGAUACAUCCUCUAUUCGAGGACAAUAUAUUAAAUGGAUUUUUGGAACAGGGAGAUGGAAUAGGAGCUUGCUCCAUCCACUCCACGCAUUGAUCUGGUAUUGCAGCACCUCCAGGAACGGUGCACCAAAA
ensembl:snRNA U2 U2 spliceosomal RNA